CACGCCCCCCACCAAGGCUAUAGCCCACCCGUUUUUUGGCCAUUUUUCCGCUGGGGGGUCUUGGGACCCCGACCUUCGGGGGCUGAUUUUUGGGCGCGGGUGUGCCCGUGGCCUAUUUUUGGCACACGGAGGCCGCCCGCAAAGUCUGGGGCCAUUCCGAGUCCGGCGGACGAACUUCGCCCACGCCCCCCCACCAAGGCUAUAGCCCACCCGUUUUUUGGCCAUUUUUCCGCUGGGGGGUCUUGGCGCCCCGACCUUCGGGGGCUGAUUUUUGGGCGCGGGUGUGCCCGUGGCCUAUUUUUGGCACACGGAGGCCGCCCGCAAAGUCUGGGGCCAUUCCGAGUCCGGCGGACGAGCUUCGCCCACCCCCCCCCCCACCAAGGGUAUAGCCCACCCGUUUUUUGGCCAUUUUUCCGCUGGGGGGGCUUGGCGCCCCCACCUUCGGGGGCUUAAUUUUGGGCGCGGGUGUGCCCGUGGCCUAUUUCUGGCACACGGAGGCCGCCCGCAAAGUCUGGGGCCAUUCCGAGUCCGGCGGACGAGCUUCGCCCACCCCCCCCCCCACCAAGGCUAUAGCCCACCCGUUUUUUGGCCAUUUUUCCGCUGGGGGGUCUUGGCGCCCCGACCUUCGGGGGCUUAAUUUUGGGCGCGGGUGUGCCCGUGGCCUAUUUUUGGCACACGGAGGCCGCCCGCAAAGUCUGGGGCCAUUCCGAGUCCGGCGGACGAACUUCGCCCACGUCCCCCACCAAGGCUAUAGCCCACCCAUUUUUUGGCCAUUUUUCCGCUGGGGGGUCUUGGCGCCCCGACCUUCGGGGGCUGAUUUUUGGGCGCGGGUGUGCCCGUGGCCUAUUUUUGGCACACGGAGGCCGCCCGCAAAGUCUGGGGCCAUUCCGAGUCCGGCGGACGAACUUCGCCCACGUCCCCCACCAAGGCUAUAGCCCACCCAUUUUUUGGCCAUUUUUCCGCUGGGGGGUCUUGGCGCCCCGACCUUCGGGGGCUGAUUUUUGGGCGCGGGUGUGCCCGUGGCCUAUUUUUGGCACACGGAGGCCGCCCGCAAAGUCUGGGGCCAUUCCGAGUCCGGCGGACGAACUUCGCCCACGCCCCCCACCAAGGCUAUAGCCCACCCGUUUUUUGGCCAUUUUUCCGCUGGGGGGUCUUGGCGCCCCGACCUUCGGGGGCUGAUUUUUGGGCGCGGGUGUGCCCGUGGCCUAUUUUUGGCACACGGAGGCCGCCCGCAAAGUCUGGGGCCAUUCCGAGUCCGGCGGACGAGCUUCGCCCACGCCCCCCACCAAGGCUAUAGCCCACCCGUUUUUUGGCCAUUUUUCCGCUGGGGGGUCUUGGCGCCCCGACCUUCGGGGGCUGAUUUUUGGGCGCGGGUGUGCCCGUGGCCUAUUUUUUGCACACGGAGGCCGCCCGCAAAGUCUGGGGCCAUUCCGAGUCCGGCGGACGAACUUCGCCCACGCCCCCCACCAAGGCUAUAGCCCACCCGUUUUUUGGCCAUUUUUCCGCUGGGGGGUCUUGGCUCCCCGACCUUCGGGGGCUGAUUUUUGGGCGCGGGUGUGCCCGUGGCCUAUUUUUGGCACACGGAGGCCGCCCGCAAAGUCUGGGGCCAUUCCGAGUCCGGCGGACGAACUUCGCCCACGCCCCCCACCAAGGCUAUAGCCCACCCGUUUUUUGGCCAUUUUUCCGCUGGGGGGUCUUGGCGCCCCGACCUUCGGGGGCUGAAUUUUGGGCGCGGGUGUGCCCGUGGCCUAUUUUUGGCACACGGAGGCCGCCCGCAAAGUCUGGGGCCAUUCCGAGUCCGGCGGACGAACUUCGCCCACGCCCCCCACCAAGGCUAUAGCCCACCCGUUUUUUGGCCAUUUUUCCGCCGGGGGGUCUUGGCGCCCCGACCUUCGGGGGCUUAAUUUUGGGCGCGGGUGUGCCCGUGGCCUAUUUUUGGCACACGGAGGCCGCCCGCAAAGUCUGGGGCCAUUCCGAGUCCGGCGGAAGAACUUCGCCCACGUCCCCCACCAAGGCUAUAGCCCACCCAUUUUUUGGCCAUUUUUCCGCUGGGGGGUCUUGGCGCCCCGACCUUCGGGGGCUGAUUUUUGGGCGCGGGUGUGCCCGUGGCCUAUUUUUGGCACACGGAGGCCGCCCGCAAAGUCUGGGGCCAUUCCGAGUCCGGCGGACGAACUUCGCCCACGCCCCCCACCAAGGCUAUAGCCCACCCGUUUUUUGGCCAUUUUUCCGCUGGGGGGUCUUGGCGCCCCGACCUUCGGGGGCUGAAUUUUGGGCGCGGGUGUGCCCGUGGCCUAUUUUUGGCACACGGAGGCCGCCCGCAAAGUCUGGGGCCAUUCCGAGUCCGGCGGACGAACUUCGCCCACGCCCCCCACCAAGGCUAUAGCCCACCCGUUUUUUGGCCAUUUUUCCGCUGGGGGGUCUUGGCGCCCCGACCUUCGGGGGCUGAUUUUUGGGCGCGGGUGUGCCCGUGGCCUAUUUUUGGCACACGGAGGCCGCCCGCAAAGUCUGGGGCCAUUCCGAGUCCGGCGGACGAGCUUCGCCCACGCCCCCCACCAAGGCUAUAGCCCACCCGUUUUUUGGCCAUUUUUCCGCUGGGGGGUCUUGGCGCCCCGAUCUUCGGGGGCUUAAUUUUGGGCGCGGGUGUGCCCGUGGCCUAUUUUUGGCACACGGAGGCCGCCCGCAAAGUCUGGGGCCAUUCCGAGUCCGGCGGACGAACUUCGCCCACGUCCCCCACCAAGGCUAUAGCCCACCCAUUUUUUGGCCAUUUUUCCGCUGGGGGGUCUUGGCGCCCCGACCUUCGGGGGCUGAUUUUUGGGCGCGGGUGUGCCCGUGGCCUAUUUUUGGCACACGGAGGCCGCCCGCAAAGUCUGGGGCCAUUCCGAGUCCGGCGGACGAACUUCGCCCACGCCCCCCACCAAGGCUAUAGCCCACCCGUUUUUUGGCCAUUUUUCCGCUGGGGGGUCUUGGCGCCCCGACCUUCGGGGGCUGAUUUUUGGGCGCGGGUGUGCCCGUGGCCUAUUUUUGGCACACGGAGGCCGCCCGCAAAGUCUGGGGCCAUUCCGAGUCCGGCGGACGAGCUUCGCCCACGCCCCCCACCAAGGCUAUAGCCCACCCGUUUUUUGGCCAUUUUUCCGCUGGGGGGUCUUGGCGCCCCGACCUUCGGGGGCUGAUUUUUGGGCGCGGGUGUGCCCGUGGCCUAUUUUUUGCACACGGAGGCCGCCCGCAAAGUCUGGGGCCAUUCCGAGUCCGGCGGACGAACUUCGCCCACGCCCCCCACCAAGGCUAUAGCCCACCCGUUUUUUGGCCAUUUUUCCGCUGGGGGGUCUUGGCUCCCCGACCUUCGGGGGCUGAUUUUUGGGCGCGGGUGUGCCCGUAGCCUAUUUUUGGCACACGGAGGCCGCCCGCAAAGUCUGGGGCCAUUCCGAGUCCGGCGGACGAACUUCGCCCACGCCCCCCACCAAGGCUAUAGCCCACCCGUUUUUUGGCCAUUUUUCCGCUGGGGGGUCUUGGCGCCCCGACCUUCGGGGGCUGAAUUUUGGGCGCGGGUGUGCCCGUGGCCUAUUUUUGGCACACGGAGGCCGCCCGCAAAGUCUGGGGCCAUUCCGAGUCCGGCGGACGAACUUCGCCCACGCCCCCCACCAAGGCUAUAGCCCACCCGUUUUUUGGCCAUUUUUCCGCUGGGGGGUCUUGGCGCCCCGACCUUCGGGGGCUGAUUUUUGGGCGCGGGUGUGCCCGUGGCCUAUUUUUGGCACACGGAGGCCGCCCGCAAAGUCUGGGGCCAUUCCGAGUCCGGCGGACGAACUUCGCCCACGCCCCCCACCAAGGCUAUAGCCCACCCGUUUUUUGGCCAUUUUUCCGCUGGGGGGUCUUGGCGCCCCGACCUUCGGGGGCUGAAUUUUGGGCGCGGGUGUGCCCGUGGCCUAUUUUUAGCACACGGAGGCCGCCCGCAAAGUCUGGGGCCAUUCCGAGUCCGGUGGACGAACUUCGCCCACGCCCCCCACCAAGGCUAUAGCCCACCCGUUUUUUGGCCAUUUUUCCGCUGGGGGGUCUUGGCGCCCCGACCUUCGGGGGCUG
rnacentral:lncRNA from 1 species